rnacentral:rRNA from 1 species
GGCGGACGGGUGAGUAACGCGUUAGCAACCUGCCCAAAAGUGGGGAAUAACUAACCGAAAGGUUAGCUAAUACCGCAUGUGAUGGUUGGUCUCUGGACUGGUCAUGAAAGGCUUCGGCCGCUUUUGGAGGGGCUUGCGUCAGAUUAGCUAGUUGGUGGGGUAAUGGCCUACCAAGGCGACGAUCUGUAGCUGGUCUGAGAGGAUGGUCAGCCACACGGGGACUGAGAUACGGCCCCGACUCCUACGGGAGGCAGCAGCUAGGAAUCUUGGGAAUGGGCGAAAGCCUGACCCAGCAACGCCGCGUGGGCGAUGAAGGCCUUCGGGUCGUAAAGCCCUUUUGCAGGGGAAGAUGAUGACGGUACCCUGCGAAUAAGCCACGGCUAACUACGUGCCAGCAGCCGCGGUAAUACGUAGGUGGCAAGCGUUGUCCGGAUUUACUGGGCGUAAAGGGCGUGCGGGCGGUUUGUUAAGUGCAGGGUGAAAGCUCCCGGCUCAACUGGGAGAGGUCCUUGCAUACUGGCGAACUCGAGGGAGGCAGUGGAAAGUGGAAUUCCCGGUGUAGUGGUGAUAUGCGUAGAUAUCGGGAGGAACACCUGUGGCGAAGGCGGCU